AAGGGUGAUUGAGUUCAGAAAAGCUUCUUUCACCUUCUCUCUUUCUCUCUCUCUAGGGUUUUUCUCUCUCUAGAGAAAAUCCGCCGAUUCGCGCCGUUUCCGCGCCGCGCUUGUUGUUCGCUGGUUUGGCGACUUAAAGGAGGCUUCCAGCACGUGGGAAAGAGGAGCUUUGCUGUGUUUCUAUGAGGUUACUGCCAGGGGAAGCUGAAUUUCAGUUUUAGAGAGGUCUUCGAGUCUCGUUGAGCUGAACUUGCACUCUUAGAAGCUGGUUUGGGAGGUAUUCUAACCUGAGGUAAGCAGGGAUUUCAGUUAGAAAACUGAAUUCGCAAGAUUCCGACUAUAUUUGCUAUUAUGUGAUGAUUUUGAUGUCGUGUUGGUGUUGAUCGCAGCGGGAGUUCGACUGACCUUUGGGUCAUCCUUGGUUGGCUUUGGGAAGCCUUUAGAGACUUAAUUGGAGCAUUGGGGCUUCGUUGAGCCGUUUGUGGGACUUCUUGU